AAUUCUCAAUCUCUCCAGCUUUGUUGUUGGAAACGAUUGGAUGUGGAGGCUUUGUGGGAUUUUUAACGAAACCCGCUCCUCUUAAAUAUAUUAGCUGGAACGCCUUUGCAACUCCAACUAUCAGUGUGAUAAUUAUCUGCACUACUGGUUGGUCUCAAAGGGCAUCUGCUUCUCAACCGUCGCAAGACAAAUUUUGAAUCA
rnacentral:misc_RNA from 1 species